rfam:Lactobacillus amylolyticus DSM 11664 contig00088, whole genome shotgun sequence.
CGCGGGAUGGAGCAGUCUGGUAGCUCGUCGGGCUCAUAACCCGAAGGUCGUUGGUUCAAAUCCAGCUCCCGCAA